CCUGGCUACAGCGGCAUCCACGUGGAGAAGGUGGCGGCUAAUGCCCAAGACCCAGGUGAGGCCUUUUCCUCUCAGAGGAGGGCCAGGUAAGAGGCCAAAAUUUGUAAGCCCCAGGGAAAGGAGAACUCACGUAUGGGCUGCUGCCAACUUCCCCCAACAGGCUACCCCGUAAUGCACCUAGUAACCUCGGGAUGAUCUCCACAGACCAGGAAGAAGGCUGUUUUAAACGUGAUACCCAGAAGAACUGGGGACCAAACCCAGAGCCUCCCAUGAGCUAAGUAAAGUACUGGACCACUAUGCUACAUCCCCAGUCUU
rnacentral:lncRNA from 1 species